UGUACUGUGAAACUGCGAAUGGCUCAUUAAAUCAGUUAUCGUUUAUUUGAUUGUACCAUUACUACUUGGAUAACCGUAGUAAUUCUAGAGCUAAUACAUGCGAAAAGUCCCGACUUCUGGAAGGGAUGUAUUUAUUAGAUUAAAAACCAAUGCGGGUUCUGCCCGGUCAUUUGGUGAUUCAUAGUAACUGAUCGAAUCGCACGGCCUUGCGCUGGCGAUGUUUCAUUCAAAUUUCUGCCCUAUCAACUGUCGAUGGUAAGGUAGUGGCUUACCAUGGUUGCAACGGGUGACGGAGAAUUAGGGUUCGAUUCCGGAGAGGGAGCCUGAGAAACGGCUACCACAUCCAAGGAAGGCAGCAGGCGCGCAAAUUACCCAAUCCUGACUCAGGGAGGUAGUGACAAGAAAUAACAAUACAGGGCUUUUAC
rnacentral:rRNA from 1 species